rnacentral:siRNA from 1 species
AUUAAAACUAAGCUGUAGAAGAGA